rnacentral:rRNA from 1 species
CCUACGGGAGGCAGCAGUGAGGAAUAUUGGUCAAUGGGCGCGAGCCUGAACCAGCCAAGUAGCGUGAAGGAUGACUGCCCUACGGGUUGUAAACUUCUUUUAUAAAGGAAUAAAGUGAGGCACGUGUGCCUUUUUGUAUGUACUUUAUGAAUAAGGAUCGGCUAACUCCGUGCCAGCAGCCGCGGUAAUACGGAGGAUCCGAGCGUUAUCCGGAUUUAUUGGGUUUAAAGGGAGCGUAGAUGGGUUGUUAAGUCAGUUGUGAAAGUUUGCGGCUCAACCGUAAAAUUGCAAUGGAUACUGGGAGGCUUGAGUACAGUUGAGGGGGGGGGAAUGCGUGGUGUAGCGGUGAAAUGCUUAGAUAUAACGAAGAACUCCGAUUGCGAAGGCAGCUUACUAAUCUGCAACUGACAUUGAUGCUCGAAAGUGUGGGUAUCAAACAGGAUUAGAUACCCUUGUAGUC